UACGAAGGGUGCAAGCGUUACUCGGAAUUACUGGGCGUAAAGGGCGUGUAGGCGGCUUUUUAAGUCAGAUGUGAAAUCUUUGGGCUUAACCCAAAGACUGCAUUUGAAACUGAGAGGCUUGAGGACCGGAGAGGGCAGUGGAAUUCCCAGUGUAGCGGUGAAAUGCGUAGAUAUUGGGAGGAACACCAGUGGCGAAGGCGACUGCCUGGACGGCACCUGACGCUGAGGCGCGAAAGCUAGGGGAGCAAACGGG
rnacentral:rRNA from 1 species